AUUGAACGCUGGCGGCAUGCCUUACACAUGCAAGUCGAACGGCAGCACGGGUGCUUGCACCUGGUGGCGAGUGGCGAACGGGUGAGUAAUACAUCGGAACAUGUCCUGUAGUGGGGGAUAGCCCGGCGAAAGCCGGAUUAAUACCGCAUACGAUCCACGGAUGAAAGCGGGGGACCUUCGGGCCUCGCGCUAUAGGGUUGGCCGAUGGCUGAUUAGCUAGUUGGUGGGGUAAAGGCCUACCAAGGCGACGAUCAGUAGCUGGUCUGAGAGGACGACCAGCCACACUGGGACGGGGACACGGCCCAGACUCCUACGGGAGGCAGCGGUGGGGAAUUUUGGACAAUGGGCGAAAGCCUGAUCAAGCAAGGCCGCGUGUGUGAAGAAGGCCUUCGGGUUGUAAAGCACUUUUGUCCGGAAAGAAAUCCUUGGCUUUAAUACGGUCGGGGAUGACGGUACCGGAAGAAUAAGCACCGGCUAACUACGUG
rnacentral:rRNA from 1 species